CCCACCAAAAAGAAACUUGGUCCAUCAAAACGCACAGUUUUAGUCUUCACCAUUUUUCGCUGGGCUAAAAUCCUAAAACCCUAAACCCAUAUAUCGCCGAAAGAACAGAGUAGCACUAUCAGAGCACCCUGCCAUGGAGAACACUAGCAACGACGCUGGCGUCGAAGCCCUACGGCUGCUGAAAGCGACGGAACCGCCUUCAUUUCUCACUCCGAACCCAGCGCUGUCGGAAGCUGCUCGUACCGCAUCGCAAUACUUGUUCUCUUCCCUAAAACCGUUUUCCCCAAAAUCGCCACUGGACCAACUCCUUGUGGACGGUUUCGACGCAGAACAGAUAUGGCAGCAAAUAGACCUCCAAACGCAGCCUCUGUUAUCCACCAUUCGCCGCCGCGUGAAACAGCUGGUCGAAAAUCCCGAAGAGAUUUCCCAGCUGAAGGUUCCUUCGGAGGGUGGGAACAAGAAGGAGGAGAAGAGUCAAGACGAGUGGGAAGAAGAGAGUGACGGUUUUGACGAGGAAUUGGAUGAGGAAGAGGAAGAAGAUGAGGAUGAUGAAGUAAAGGAGGGAGAAGGAGAAGAAGAAGAAGAAGAGACGGAGGAUGAAGAGGAAGAGGGGGAGGAUAAUGAAGAAGGUGGUGUCAUUGAGGAUAAAUUCUUUAAAAUAGAUGAAUUGACAAAGUACUUAGAGAAGGAGGAAGAUGAUUUCGAGAAUGGCGAGGCAGACAGAGAAGGUGAGGAGGAAGAUGACGAAGAAGAAAGUGAUGAGGAAGGUGAUUUUGGGAUUGGUGAUGAUGAUGAUGAGGAUGAAGAUGAAGAAGCAGAGGGCAUAGAAAGUGCAAGGUAUGAAGACUUCUUUGGAGGUAAAAAGGAAAGGGGGUCAAAAAGAAAAGCUCAAGUACUUCAGGAAUCUGAAUAUUCUGAUGAUGAAGAUGAUAUGGAAUUUGACAAGCAGACGAAAGGGACUGCAUCUGCCCAUGAAAAGCAACUGGAAAAAAUUCAGUCCAAGAUAGAGCUGAUGGAGAAAGCUAACAUAGAUCCAAAAACAUGGACUAUGCAGGGUGAGGUAACUGCUGCAAAGAGACCAAAGAAUAGUGCAUUGGAAGUUGAUCUGGACUUUGAGCAUAAUGUGAGGCCUGCUCCUGUAAUCACUGAAGAAGUUACAGCUUCAAUUGAGGAUAUAAUCAAGAAAAGGAUUAUUGAGGGGCACUUUAAUGAUGUUCAAAGGGUUCCUAAAUUGCCAUCUAAAGCACCUCGGGAAGUUAAAGAGUUGGAUGACAAUAAAAGCAAGCAGGGUCUUGCAGAACUUUAUGAGCAAGAAUAUGUUCAGAAGACAGACCCCACUUCUGCUCCAUUGUCAUUUAAAGAUGAACAAAAGAAUGAGGCAAGCAUGCUGUUUAAGAGACUCUGUCUGAAGCUGGAUGCCCUUUCUCAUUUUAACUUUGCUCCAAAACCUGUUAUAGAGGACAUGUCUAUUCAAGCUAAUGUGCCUGCUCUAGCAAUGGAAGAAAUUGCACCUGUGGCUGUUUCAGAUGCUGCUAUGUUGGCACCUGAGGAGGUAUUUGAUGGGAAAGGUGAUAUUAAGGAAGAAACAGAGCUUACAAAGGCAGAAAGGAAAACAAGGAGAGCUAAUAAGAAAAGAAAAUUUAAAGCUGAGGCAGUAAAAAGGACGAAUAAGAAGGCACAAGAAGGGGUGAUUCGUAGCAAAGUUAAUGUGAGACAGGGUACCUGGAUAUGACUCUACCCUUGUCUGGGCACAACUCCUUGUAUCUUAGUCUUUAGAUAUGAUGACUAGUUUCCUACACAUUGAGGGUAAACAACAAUUCAAUAUUUAUGAUUGUUUACAGAAGCUGCACAACUAAUAAUAAGUUCAAAGGGGGAGCCCAUGGCAAAAUGAAGUAAAAUUGACAUGGAAGAGGAUUUUUGUUGGAGUCAACCAUGAUAAAUGAGCAAUGCCAUUCAUAAGCUUGGUAGUGGCAGAUGAAAGCAACUUGAAUGCUCUUUUUAGUUUGGCUGUUUUCGUCAUUCCUUGAAUUCUUGGUUAAUAUCAAAACAUGGAAAGGAGAGUCACUGUUUAUUUACUUUUCCUGCUACUCAUUGUUACAAGUUCGUAGCAGCGGUAUUUUUUUUUGUGCUAAAUUUUGUAUUCUUUAAUUAUAUUCACAGCUGAUAUGUAGAGCACCAAACUAAUGGCAGAUGGUCAUAGUUGAACCUUGAAUUCUCCAAACCAACGAGGCAUAAGAAAAUUGUUGGAAAAUUUUGCUUUUGAUGCUUUUGCUUGUAAAACUUUUUGAUGCAGUAAAUCUUUGAUUCUCUUGAA